rnacentral:rRNA from 1 species
AUUGAACGCUGGCGGCAGGCUUAACACAUGCAAGUCGAGCGCGCCUCGUACGCUUGAGUUAUUUCUGGGAAACUUCCUGAUGGUUGGGGAUAACUACUGGAAACGGUAUCUAAUACCGCAUACCAUCUGAUGUGCCCAGAUGGGAUUAGCUAGUAGGUGGGGUAAUGGCUCACCUAGGCGACGAUCCCUAGCUGGUCUGAGAGGAUGACCAGCCACACAGGAACGGGGACACGGUCCAGACUCCGACGGGAGGCAGCAGUGGGGAAUAUUGCACAAUGGGCGCAAGCCUGAUGCAGCAAUGCCGCGUGUGUGAAGAAGGCCUUCGGGUUGUAAAGCACUUUCAGCGAGGAGGCGGAACACGAAGAAGAAGCAACGGCUAACUCCGUGCCAGCAGCCGCGGUAAUAG